rnacentral:rRNA from 1 species
UAGCUGGUCUGAGAGGAUGACCAGCCACACUGGAACUGAGACACGGUCCAGACUCCUACGGGAGGCAGCAGUGGGGAAUAUUGGACAAUGGGGGCAACCCUGAUCCAGCAAUGCCGCGUGUGUGAAGAAGGCCUGAGGGUUGUAAAGCACUUUCAGUGGGGAGGAGGAUUGACGGGUUAAGAGCUAGUUAAUUGGACGUUACCCACAGAAGAAGCACCGGCUAACUCCGUGCCAGCAGCCGCGGUAAUACGGAGGGUGCAAGCGUUAAUCGGAAUUACUGGGCGUAAAGGGUGCGUAGGUGGUUAAUUAAGUUAUCUGUGAAAUCCCYGGGCUCAACCUGGGCAGGUCAGAUAAAACUGUUUAACUCGAGUAUG